UACGAAGGGUGCAAGCGUUACUCGGAAUUACUGGGCGUAAAGGGCUCGUAGGCGGCCAACUAAGUCGGAUGUGAAAUCCCCAGGCUCAACCUGGGAACUGCAUCCGAUACUGGAUGGCUUGAAUCCGGGAGAGGGAUGCAGAAUUCCAGGUGUAGCGGUGAAAUGCGUAGAUAUCUGGAGGAAUACCGGUGGCGAAGGCGGCAUCCUGGACCGGCAUUGACGCUGAUGAGCGAAAGCUAGGGGAGCAAACGGG
rnacentral:rRNA from 1 species